rnacentral:rRNA from 1 species
UGGAUGUUGGCGUCCUGCCUGUGAUGGGUGGGGUUGAGGGCAUGCUGUUGGGUUGUGGGGUAUCACAUGUGUGGUGGCCUGUGCGGUGCUGUGUUGCGUGCGUGUGUGCGUGGUGUGGUGUUCGUGUGGUGGUUGAGAACUGUAUAGUGGAUGCGAGUAUCUUUAUUGUUGUAUGUGUUUGUGCGACGUGGUGUUGUGCAAAGUUGUGUAGUGCGAUCGGUGGAUGCCUUGGCACCAACAGCCGAUGAACGACGUUGUGAGCUGCCCUCCACCCUGAUGAGCUUGUGACCUCGCAGUUAACUGGGCGAGUCCCUAUGG